rnacentral:lncRNA from 1 species
CUUCCUCGAGUGCUUUAGUAGGGGCAGAUGGAAGGAGCCUAAUGUCUUAGCUGUUUUAGUGCACUUGUGUCCAUCUUCAGUAGGUAGACAUGACUAUAAGGAAGAGUUUAAGGCUCAAGGCAUACUACUCUUUCUAUUGAAAGCAGAGAAUAAGCUUACCACUCUAAGUCGACUAUGCAUAUUCCUUAUUAUUAUUAUUUAAUAAUAGUAUUAGGGUUCGAAUCCAGGUGACGGGGUUUUUCUUGGUUGAAUACAGAAAAAGAGGACUGCCUUUUUCGUGUUGUGCUUCGUUAGGUCGAGGUAAGUAAGGUAUACGAAGGAAAAGCCUAUUUGACAAUGAAAGUGACCAAAGGUNNNN